rnacentral:rRNA from 1 species
AUUGAACGCUGGCGGCAGGCCUAACACAUGCAAGUCGAGCGGAGCGGCGGACGGGUGCGUAAUGCCUAGGAAUCUGCCUGGUAGUGGGGGAUAACGUCCGGAAACGGGCGCUAAUACCGCAUACUAUCAGAUGAGCCUAGGUCGGAUUGGCUAGUGGGUGGGGUAAAGCCCUCCCAGGUCGACGAUCCGUAACUGGUCUGAGAGUAUGAUCAGUCACACUGGAACUGGGACACGGUCCAGACGCCUACGGGAGGCAGCGUUGUGGAAUAUUUGACAAUGGGCGAAAGCCUUAUCCAGCCAUGCCGCGUGUGUGAAGAAGGUCUUCGGAUUGUAAAGCACUUUAAGUUGGGAGGCGUUACCAACAGAAUAAGCACCGGCUAACUUCGUGCCAGCAGCCGCGGUAAUAC